rnacentral:rRNA from 1 species
AACGAACGCUGGCGGCAUGCCUAACACAUGCAAGUCGAACGGGAUCCGGACUUCGGUCCGGUGAGAGUGGCGGACGGGUGAGUAACACGUGGGAACCUGCCUUUUGGUUCGGGAUAACCGCGGGAAACUGCGGCUAAUACCGGAUGCUCCCCGAGAGGGAAAAGAUUUAUCGCCAGAAGAGGGGCCCGCGUCCGAUUAGGUAGUUGGUGGGGUAAUGGCCUACCAAGCCGACGAUCGGUAGCUGGUCUGAGAGGAUGAUCAGCCACACUGGGACUGAGAUACGGCCCAGACUCCUACGGGAGGCAGCAGUGGGGAAUAUUGGACAAU